GACGGAGGAUGCAAGUGUUAUCCGGAAUCACUGGGCGUAAAGCGUCUGUAGGUGGUUUAAUAAGUCAACUGUUAAAUCUUGAGGCUCAACCUCAAAAUCGCAGUCGAAACUAUUAGGCUAGAGUAUAGUAGGGGUAAAGGGAAUUUCCAGUGGAGCGGUGAAAUGCGUAGAGAUUGGAAAGAACACCGAUGGCGAAAGCACUUUACUGGGCUAUUACUAACACUCAGAGACGAAAGCUAGGGUAGCAAAUGGG
rnacentral:rRNA from 1 species